GAGCGGCUACGGCCGCGAAGUGGAUGAUGUCAAGCUUCCAAGAAAAGCCCUAUACCCGUUUAGGCAUGAUGGCCUGUACCCGAAACCGACACAGGUGGGGUGGUAGAGAAUACCGAGGGGCGCGAGGUAACUCUCUCUAAGGAACUCGGCAAAAUGGCCCCGUAACUUCGGGAGAAGGGGUGCCACCGCGAGGUGUCGCAGUGAAGAGGCCCAGGCGACUGUUUACCAAAAACACAGGUCUCCGCUAAGUCGCAAGACGAUGUAUGGGGGCUGACGCCUGCCCAGUGCCGGAAGGUUAAGGAAGCUGGUCAGCGCAAGCGAAGCUGGCGACUGAAGCCCCGGUGAACGGCGGCCGUAACGAUAACGGUCCUAAGGUAGCGAAAUUCCUUGUCGGGUAAGUUCCGACCCGCACGAAAGGCGUAACGAUCUGGGCGCUGUCUCGGAGAGAGGCUCGGCGAAAUAGAAUUGUCUGUGAAGAUGCGGACUACGUGCACCCGGACAGAAAGACCCUAUGAAGCUUUACUGUAGCUUGGUAUUGUGCUCGGGCUCGGAAUGCGCAGGAUAGGUGGGAGGCUUUGAUCCAUUGCUUGCGGGUGAUGGUGAGCCACUGGUGAGAUACCACUCUUUCCGAGCUAGAGUUCUAACAGCAACCCGUUAUCCGGGUGCUGGACAGUAUCAGGUGGGCAGUUUGACUGGGGCGGUCGCCUCCUAAAAGGUAACGGAGGCGCGCAAAGGUCUGCUCAGGCUGGUUGGAAAUCAGCCGACGAGUGUAAAAGCAGAAGCAGGCUUGACUGUGAGACCUACAAGUCGAACAGGGAGGAAACUCGGCUUUAGUGAUCCGACGGUUCUGCGUGGAAGGGCCGUCGCUCAACGGAUAAAAGUUACUCUAAGGAUAACAGGCUGAUCUCCCCCAAGAGUUCACAUCGACGGGGAGGUUUGGCACCUCGAUGUCGGCUCAUCGCAACCUGGGGCUGAAGUCGGUCCCAAGGGUUGGGCUGUUCGCCCAUUAAAGCGGUACGCGAGCUGGGUUCAGAACGUCGUGAGACAGUUCGGUCCAUAUCCGGUGCACGCGCAGGAAUAUUGAGAGGAUUUCUCCCUAGUACGAGAGGACCGGGAGGAACGCACCUCUGGUGUGCCAGUUAUCGUGCCAACGGUAAACGCUGGGUAGCCAUGUGCGGAGUGGAUAACCGCUGAAAGCAUCUAAGUGGGAAGCCCACCUCAAGAUGAGUAUUCCCAUGGCAUAAGCCAGUAAGGUCACGGGAAGAACACCCGUUGAUAGGCUCUACGUGGAAGCGCAGUAAUGUGUGAAGCGGAGGAGUACUAAUAGACCGAGGGCUUGAC
rnacentral:rRNA from 1 species